rnacentral:lncRNA from 1 species
GGGCCAGUGGAAGGGUCACAGGUUUGUUUGACUCUAGGACUUUUUCUUGGGAACAGACUCUAUUCUGGAGUUGGUUGAGUCAGGAAGUAGGUUAAGAAAGCUUUAUAGAAAUUUUGAGGUUAGCCUUAAAAAACAACCAUGCUCUCCUCUGCCUCUUUCUAGCCUCUGUCCUCUUACCUUGCUCUUGUUUCCACUGCGGAGAUGACCUGAUUCCUGUCCAUGCUCCAUAUGUGCCUGUGGCUUCCCCUCCAGGACCAAGUCAAGUCUCAUCUUCUCCAAUACGCAUUGUGGGUCUUACAGCCAAGGCUGUCUCUCUCCUUCUAGAUUGUUUACGUUAUCUCUGUGGUCAACCAUAUACACAUAUUGACUUCCAUAACAUUAUUUGAGAGCAGUGAGCACAAGUGUCUCUUUAGUUCCCAUUGUAUCCCUGUAUCUGUUUGUAUGCCUAUCUGUCUAUCUGUAUCUAAAUAUAUAGCUAUUGCAUAGUUG